rnacentral:misc_RNA from 1 species
GGAAAAUAUUAAAAAAUGUAUUAAGUUAGAAGAAAAUUAGGAGGGAGAAAAUAAAAGGAGAAACCAAUCCAUAUUUUUACUUGUCUGCACAUGAUGGCAGUGUGCCCAAAGAAUGAUAGGCGCACGCCAAUCAUCUACUAGUUCUUUUUCAAGGGCAAACGAUGCUCAGAAAAACAAGUUAUGCGAGACGGUUGCAUAUGAAAAUACAUUAUCACACACAAGGAAAAAUACUCAGCUUGAUAUUUAGUUCCCUUUAACAAACGUAAGUCCUAACAUGAAAAGCAACUAAACCUCAUCCAACGUCAAUAAAACUCCAGAAAAUAACCAAAAAAAAUUUCAAAGCUCUUAUGCAACAGUUUGGGCUGCUGCAAGCCUCUUCCUAGCCUCCUCAAUGAUAGACAACUUAAUACCCUUACCCUUGGGAAGAGAGACCCAUGGUUUAGUCCCCUUUCCUAUGGUGAAGACAUUGCCCAAACGAGUCGCAAACUCAUGGCCAGUUGCGUCUUGGAUAUGAAUAGUUUCAAAACUCCCCUUGUGC